GGUGGAAGCUGAAGGAGGAAGACUGUUGUGUGAAAUUCAGUAAGCAGGUGAGAGAGGCACUGGAUGGAAGGGAAGCAAUUUGGACAGCUGGAAAAGUACUGCCGAUGUGGUAAGAGAGACAGCUAGGAUAGUACUGGGUGAAACAUCUGGACAGUGGAAGGAAGACAAGGAGACUUAAUGACAUGGAG